CCCAACACUCAAGCCAUUCUGAUUUUGGAGAAUGUACUUUUCACCGAAAAUUUCAGUGUAUUUAUUUUCUCUUGAUGUAUGCAACUGUGCGGUGACCGCAUGUUGUGCAAGCAGGAGAGUUAUAUGAUGGCGUUGUGCUGCACUUAAUUUCUGCAUGCUAAUUAAUCCACCUAGUAUAAAUCAUCCUCGGCUGAUGUGUGUAGUGCAGCAGGUUGUGCUAAGAUCGGACUUGGUUACAGCAUCGAUGUGCAUCAUGCAGUGGUCAAAUGCCUUACAUUUAAACAUAAAAAAAAUGAACAAUUUUGUUUUGGAAACUCCACAGGAAAUAUUGUUUAUUUUCCGAAACUGUGUGUUCACCUGGCAACCACGACCAAAAAAAACAUAACAACCUGGACAUGAAAUCUGUUCGUCAAGAAUCCUCUUGAUUAGCAUAUAAUAAAUAUUAUGUACUAAUUAAAUGAGGCACACAGAUGACCACACACAUGAACACAGAGUGGGUGUGGUCUAAGAGACCUUGGAGCAGAAACUGAGGAAAAGCUAGCAGUUAGGAGUCUGUGAAAAAUACACAGAUAUCUGACAAACAGAGAAAGACUCCAACUCACUAAUGCUACUUUCUGACACUUAACUAUCGUUGCACAAAACACGAGUGCCCAUCUACAGCUAAUGCUCAGAAGUGAAGCGCAGUAUGAUGUUGGAGAAGGACUCAAAAAACACAGAAUGCUUUCGGAACGCUGAUGGAAAGGACUGUGGAGAUAACUAGAAAUUCAACAACGAUAACCAGCAGAGAAGCUAAAGUCCAGCCACAGCCACCUGCAGAGAUUAAGCUUAGAUCAACUUGAUCUACACAGGAUACAUUCGAAGAAAUAAGCUCAAAAACAAACACUAGAUUUGUCCAUUUCAGUCUCAGUGGGGAGGAUGAAAUAAUGGCUCAAAUGACUACCCGUGGUAUGAGUCAUCUGCAAAGCGCACUCUCUUUUGCUCUCUCUCUCUCUCUCUCUCUCUCUCGCUGUCUCACUUAUUGAGUGAAUGAUUUAGAUUUCUAGCAGGACUUUUGUUUUCAUCUCUAUUGCCCUCCGUCCUCUUGCAGUCCUUCGUCCAUGUUGAAGUAGGUCACAUUUCCCAUCAUAACAGGUCACAUCAGCCCUGCAUUAAACAAUUAUGGAAAUUCUUCUCCGAUUAUAGUGGACGUGUAGCGUACAUCUCUUCUAUGAGAUUUAUCUCAGGGUGUGCACAAUUCUGUGACCUUCCUCACGAUCAAUAAACAUGCAAUGGAAAUUGUCUGAUGAACUACAAUAGAUCCAGAUAGAGACAUUAAUGUUUUUUUGUUUGUUAGGUGUGCACAAUUCUGUGACCUUCCUCACGAUCAAUAAACAUGCAAUGGAAAUUGUCUGAUGAACUACAAUAGAUCCAGAUAGAGACAUUAAUGUUUUUUUGUUUGUUAGUUUUUUUUUUUUUUUUUAAUGGAUGGUUGCUGUAGAAAGUAUGGAAACUUCUGGCAGUACAUGCCAGACAUGCGUUUCAGUG
ensembl:lncRNA